rnacentral:other from 1 species
UGUAUGGCAUUGUACGUUAUCCACCGGUUUGGGCGGCCAGGGAAACGGUCGUGAAAAGGGAAGGCUUCAGGAAGAAACCCGUCAUUUUCAGGAUGAAAACUGGGACACCUCCAGGAUGGAGAUUGUGAGCUGGCCAUGGACUUACCAGCGAGGCUGGAUUGCCUGAUGGAUAUGCGUUGGAUAACGCAGGCUUCUCACAAGGAUGAGAAAAGCCAACAUGGAUGGUUACCGGUUAUCGCAGGAUAACCCCCUCAGGGAUGUCUGCAGGGAGCAUACACAUAGCGGGAAUGCUAUAAACGAACCGGGGGUACUGUGCAAACAGUACCCCCUUUUCUUUGC